CAUAAACUUUUCCAGAUUUUCGCUUUCAAGCCAUCUCUCUCAAAGAAAAACCAUCGCUCGCCAUCUUUCGCCUCAUUCUCCACCACCUACCGCCAACUACAACAACCACCACCACCUUCACCACCGUCAUCAUCAGUCGCUGCCCUCCAUAAACCCUAUCCGUCAUCACCACCACACCCUACAAUUUAUUUUGUCUGUCUUAUCUUUUAUUCCCUACUUUCUUUGACGAUAUAUCCAAUAUUGAAAAGAAUCAUCCCUGAUUACUAAACGAUCCCCUCAAAAUUCAAACCCAUGUAAUAUUAAAGAUAUAGAGAACAAUUACAAAAAGUGGACGGUGGUCGGCUCCGGCAACGACUCAACGUUUCCACAUUUACUGGCUGAUCUUAUUUUCAUGGUGUGGGCAUAUGUUCCUGAUCCUUGGUUACAUUCCAUUGGUAUCUUUUAUUAUCCUAGCAAGUAAGUAUGCACAAUUCUUUGAAAAUCCUAGCAUAAUGUGUUUUUGUUCAUUAAGUGUUGUCUGGUUAAAGUGUAUGUUACAUUUUAUAUUUUACGUAAAACUUGUUAUGAAAUUUUGUAUAACAUACCUUUUUUUUUAAAAAAAAAAAAAAAAAAAAACUUUGAGGUACUGGGCAUUGGCACUUCCUGCUUAUGCCAUGGUGAUCAUUGCAACAAUCUUCAUAUUCUACAUUGGCCUCAACUUUAUGGCAACUCCAUCUCCAUCAUCAUUCAACUCAAUAUUUGGUGAGUUAAUCUCCCAUAAGGCUUCUUAUUUAUGCAACAAAGUGGUCUUUAGAUGAAAAAUAUUUAACCACGUUAAUGUGUUUUAGUGGUUGCAUAUUUUGUGUCAGUUUCAUAAGUUGGUAAAAGAAAGUAUAUUUUUGACAAAUGAAAACAGCAGAGAACCCGUGUGUUGUGAUUCUGUGGUGGAGGAAGAUGAUCGACCCAUUGAGCCUUACUCUGAUAUGGGAAUUGAUCAGAUUAAUGAACUCAUGUGUUUUUGGAGCUUAAGUGGUGAAAGUUAAAUAUACUUGACAUUAUCACAAUCAGAAUCAAUGACAUUAUCCUCAACAGAUGUAAUAUUUCUAUGAGGAUCAAAGGAGAAAAAGUGAUCAAAGGAGAAAGAGUUAUGGAAUUUAAGAUGUAAUAUUUCUUACUUAUAUGUCAGAAACAGUUCAUAGAUUACUCUAAAACAAGCAAAUCGGCUCCAAUCUUAAAUAUUACUAAAAGAGAACCUUUAAUUCCACAUUUAAGAAAUCAGGACCGUUUAUUGCAUUUCAAUCCUAUAUUUUAGACCGUUAGAUUAUUUGCUUACUUCAUGGUUUGAAAACGUCUCCUGAAUGAUAUUCAUAAAAUCAGAGAAACCUUAACCCUAAUUAGCCUCCACUCUUGACACCGGCCAUGCUUUCUCCACCGACGAAUAGCUUCCUAAGUUCACCGAUUACUUCCAGCAAAUUAAUUUUUUUUCCUUUGCAAAGUGGUGGUUUGAAUUUGAUACUGAUCUUGCUCUUCGAAGUCUUCUCUUCCCCUCAAUCUUGUGUUUAGCUUAGCCGCAUCCUUAUAUUAUAAUCAACAAUAAAAGAUCAAGGCUGGAUUUAGGUAAAUUGAAGCACAAACGAAAUAUUGAGGCUGGAUCUGGAAAAAUAGAAAGUAAAAAUCUUUUUUAUAUAGUCGCACCCCUAUGCCCUCUCUAUGAACAUCCACCGUCGGUACCACUGCAACCAGCCAUCUACAACCCCUCACCAUCUCCUUCAUCUUCCGGCUCUCACGCUCUCAUCAACUCUCGCAAUCGAUUUAUGGUUCAAGCCCUAAAUCGAUUUAUGGUUCUCAUGUAAAUAUUGCAUCUUAUGUUAGAGCCAUGCUUGCUACCAAACUUUCUGAGCUUGCUUUCGUUGAUCCAAAGAGGGCAAACAUGACUUUGGGAACUGAUUAGGGGGAAUAAGACAUUCACAUUUGUGGGGAUGUCUUUAGUUAACGACUAAAGAAUAGGUGAAGAUGACUGAACCAAGCGAGAUUUCUAAAUCCAACAAGCAUCCUGAUAAGAACCCAAUAAUAAGAAGGAAACAGAAGCUAUGUUUAAACAAAUCUGUGAAUCAUAUGAUGAGGGAUUCUACCAAGGAGACUACAGUGUAUAUCGACAAAAUUAUUAAAAUUCGAGAAGUGACAUUUGUUCAUGGUGUAGAUAUUCAGUGAGAUAAUGUUGGUGGUUGUUGAUGAUGUUGGGAUUCAAGCAAAUGAUUCUGAUUAUAGUUCGAAUGCAAGACUCUUGGGUUUGAUGUAUUCACAAGUACACAACCAAUGAACCAAUUAGUAAAAUAAGUCCCGGUAAUAAGGAUGAAUACAAUAACGGAAAGGGAUCUAAAGGUUGAAUAAGACCUCUUUUAACCUUUAAACUUUCUUGAUGUAUAUCCAAUUUUUGUAAUUAUGUUAUGUAAAGUCUUAGUUAUGACUAUAUAGAACUUGGCGAAUUUGACUUUAUGGACAUAUCUUAAUAUCUUUUUUGUGUGAAAUGAAGCAUGACAAGUGAACUACAAAGUAAAGUGGCAUGAAUUUAAAUUUAGAAUAUAUUUGGAUAUUAACUUA